rnacentral:rRNA from 1 species
CGCGAAACCGGGCGAGCUACUGUUAUACGUAUAUUAGUACAAAGUAUGUAGCAUAAUAAUUAGAGAUAGAGCAGUAGGGGUGAUAGGCUUUCACGUUCGGUGAUAUCUCGUUACCCUUGAAAUGUAUUUAGUACAACGUCGAUUCACCAGUGAUAAGGCUGUUGAAAAAUAUGUAACCUGGUAAACCUAAGACGUGCAGAGUUUAACCGCUAGUAACCCCCUCAUAAAAAUAUUUACGUCAUUAACAUAGUAAAUAAUAAAGGGUAUUAAUUAACUACAUUACUUAUUAAUAUUGUGUGUAUAAGUAAUUAAGGUAUCAUUGAUGAACUCGGCAAUAUUUCUUUCACCUGUUUAUCAAAAACAUCGCCAGUAGAAAAGACUAUUGGUUAUUUCUGCUCAAUGUAUCAUAAAUAGCCGCAGUACCUUGACUGUGCAAAGGUAGCAUAAUCAUUUGGCUUAUAAUUGAAGUCUUGUAUGAAGGAAAUCAUGGGGGAAAACUCUAUUUAUGAUAACUAGCGAAUUUACUUAGAGGGUGCAAAGUCCCUUAAAUAAAUAAUAGACGAGAAGACCCUAGAAAUUUGCAGGAUAUGCUGAGAAUACUUUUUGUUGGGGCAACAUGGUAGCAUUUAAUCUACAGUAACGACAUGACAUAUUUUAGGAUGAUGAAAUUACUCUAGGGAUAACAGCGUAAUUCAAAAGAGUUUGCGACCUCGAUGUUGGACUAGGAAGCAAUCGCUUAGAA